rnacentral:rRNA from 2 species
UGACGCUGGCGGCGUGCCUAAUACAUGCAAGUCGAACGAGUUCUCGUUGAUGAUCGGUGCUUGCACCGAGAUUCAACAUGGAACGAGUGGCGGACGGGUGAGUAACACGUGGGUAACCUGCCCUUAAGUGGGGGAUAACAUUUGGAAACAGAUGCUAAUACCGCAUAGAUCCAAGAACCGCAUGGUUCUUGGCUGAAAGAUGGCGUAAGCUAUCGCUUUUGGAUGGACCCGCGGCGUAUUAGCUAGUUGGUGAGGUAAUGGCUCACCAAGGCGAUGAUACGUAGCCGAACUGAGAGGUUGAUCGGCCACAUUGGGACUGAGACACGGCCCAAACUCCUACGGGAGGCAGCAGUAGGGAAUCUUCCACAAUGGACGCAAGUCUGAUGGAGCAACGCCGCGUGAGUGAAGAAGGCUUUCGGGUCGUAAAACUCUGUUGUUGGAGAAGAAUGGUCGGCAGAGUAACUGUUGUCGGCGUGACGGUAUCCAACCAGAAAGCCACGGCUAACUACGUGCCAGCAGCCGCGGUAAUACGUAGGUGGCAAGCGUUAUCCGGAUUUAUUGGGCGUAAAGCGAGCGCAGGCGGUUUUUUAAGUCUGAUGUGAAAGCCCUCGGCUUAACCGAGGAAGCGCAUCGGAAACUGGGAAACUUGAGUGCAGAAGAGGACAGUGGAACUCCAUGUGUAGCGGUGAAAUGCGUAGAUAUAUGGAAGAACACCAGUGGCGAAGGCGGCUGUCUGGUCUGUAACUGACGCUGAGGCUCGAAAGCAUGGGUAGCGAACAGGAUUAGAUACCCUGGUAGUCCAUGCCGUAAACGAUGAAUGCUAGGUGUUGGAGGGUUUCCGCCCUUCAGUGCCGCAGCUAACGCAUUAAGCAUUCCGCCUGGGGAGUACGACCGCAAGGUUGAAACUCAAAGGAAUUGACGGGGGCCCGCACAAGCGGUGGAGCAUGUGGUUUAAUUCGAAGCAACGCGAAGAACCUUACCAGGUCUUGACAUCUUUUGAUCACCUGAGAGAUCAGGUUUCCCCUUCGGGGGCAAAAUGACAGGUGGUGCAUGGUUGUCGUCAGCUCGUGUCGUGAGAUGUUGGGUUAAGUCCCGCAACGAGCGCAACCCUUAUGACUAGUUGCCAGCAUUUAGUUGGGCACUCUAGUAAGACUGCCGGUGACAAACCGGAGGAAGGUGGGGAUGACGUCAAAUCAUCAUGCCCCUUAUGACCUGGGCUACACACGUGCUACAAUGGAUGGUACAACGAGUUGCGAGACCGCGAGGUCAAGCUAAUCUCUUAAAGCCAUUCUCAGUUCGGACUGUAGGCUGCAACUCGCCUACACGAAGUCGGAAUCGCUAGUAAUCGCGGAUCAGCACGCCGCGGUGAAUACGUUCCCGGGCCUUGUACACACCGCCCGUCACACCAUGAGAGUUUGUAACACCCGAAGCCGGUGGCGUAACCCUUUUAGGGAGCGAGCCGUCUAAGGUGGGACAAAUGAUUAGGGUGA